CGAGAAAGCCCGCAAGGGUGAGUACAGCGGCGCACGGGUGCGUAACACGUGGGUAAUCUGCCCUGGAGCCCGGAAUAACUCCCCGAAAGGGGUGCUAAUGCCGGAUGAGCCCACGGGGUCCUCGGACCCUGAGGGAAAAGGUGGCCUCUGCAUGCAAGCUAUCACUUCAGGAUGAGCCCGCGGCCCAUCAGCUAGUUGGCGGGGUAAUGGCCCACCAAGGCUACGACGGGUAGCUGGUCUGAGAGGACGAUCAGCCACACUGGAACUGAGACACGGUCCAGACUCCUACGGGAGGCAGCAGUGGGGAAUCUUGCGCAAUGGGCGAAAGCCUGACGCAGCAACGCCGCGUGUGUGAUGAAGGUCUUCGGAUCGUAAAGCACUGUCGCGAGGGACG
rnacentral:rRNA from 1 species